CCGGGGUGAGUAUCCCAAGGCGCGUGAGAGAAUGCUGGUUAAGGAACUCGGCAAAUUGACACCGUAACUUCGGGAGAAGGUGUGCCCUUUGUGGUGAAGCCUGUACAGGUGGAGCUUCGGGGGGUUGCAGAGAAACGGGGGUUGCGACUGUUUACUAAAAACACAGGACUCUGCGAACACGUAAGUGGACGUAUAGGGUCUGACGCCUGCCCGGUGCUGGAAGGUUAAGGGGAGUUGUCAGCCGCAAGGCGAAGCAGCGAACCGAAGCCCCAGUAAACGGCGGCCGUAACAAUAACGGUCCUAAGGUAGCGAAAUUCCUUGUCGGGUAAGUUCCGACCUGCACGAAUGGCGUAACGACAUCCCCACUGUCUCAACCAGCAACUCAGCGAAAUUGUAAUCGCGGUGAAGAUACCGUGUACCCGCGGCAAGACGGAAAGACCCCAUGAACCUUUACUGCAACUUGACAGUGAAGCUCGGGAUAAUCUGCGUAGGAUAGGUGAAGGCUGUGAAGCUGGGAUUCUGGUCUCAGCAGAGCCAACCUUGAAAUACCACCCUGAUUGUUCUGGGCUUCUAACCCAGGCGUGUAAGCCACGCCGGGGACACUGUCUGGUGGGCAGUUUGACUGGGGCGGUCGCCUCCCAAAAGGUAACGGAGGCGCGCGAAGGUUCCCUCAGGCUGAUUGGAAACCAGCCGUAGAGUGUAAUGGCACAAGGGAGCUUGACUGUGAGACCGACAGGUCGAGCAGGUGCGAAAGCAGGUCAUAGUGAUCCGGCAGUUCUGCAUGGAAGGGCUGUCGCUCAUCGGACAAAAGGUACUCUGGGGAUAACAGGCUGAUCGCGCCUGAGAGUUCAUAUCGGCGGCGCGGUUUGGCACCUCAAUGUCGGCUCAUCGCAUCCUGGGGCUGGAGCAGGUCCCAAGGGUUUGGCUGUUCGCCAAUUAAAGCGGUACACGAGCUGGGUUUAGAACGUCGUGAGACAGUUCGGUCCCUAUCUGCCGUGGGCGCAGGAUACUUGAGAGGGUCUAACCAUAGUACGAGAGGACCUGGUUGGACGUACCUCUGGUGAUUCGGUUGUUCCGCCUGGAGCAUCGCCGAGUAGCUACGUACGGAAUGGAUAACCACUGAAAGCAUCUAAGUGGGAAGCCAGCCUCAAGAUGAGGUAUCCCGGGACAUUAGUCCCCUGAAGGCCCGUUGAAGACUACAACGUAAUAGGCUGGGUGUGGAAGUGCAGCAAUGCAUGGAGCUAACCAGUACUAAUCGGCCGUGAGGCUUGACCUA
rnacentral:rRNA from 1 species